AACCUGACCUCUGCAGCUUUCUGCGCCCAGUGGUCAUGCCGUCCCUGUCUCACUCCAACCAUUUCUGACAGGAGACAUGCUGAUCUCAACAGCGAGUCCUGGCACCUGAGACACACUGGGAUUACACAGAAAACUAAUACAACCCUAAACAGGAAAAUUCAUCACAGCAAUGACAAGUCCACAGACUCAGGUCUGAAGAAACAUGGAGAUAUUUCAAAUCAUAAAUCAGAGUAUGCAAGCAUGCAGCAGCUCCACAGUCCCAAAUCUAUGUUCAGGGAGACGACAGCCAACAGAAGUCCCAAGCAAGUUUGUCCAUGCAGAGACUUUACUACCUUUCACCUGUUUGAGGCCUCCACGUACAAGGACUCCAAAUCACUUCUGGGAUUAUGAAUUUUAGUCUCUUAAUCCAGCAAUGAGGAAUUGGCUAGUCUUCGUACUUCAUUUUGCUUAUAAACUUACUUAUGAUUCACUACUAGUGCUAAGUGGCAAAAUGCCUAUUUUUUUUAAUGCGCAUACAAACUGCAGGACUUCAGAACAGUUUAAGCUUAUAAUAGAAGCAAAAGACAUUUGAGAGAAAACCAAAGUAUAAGUGCACAUUUUGUGGAAGUAUCACUGAACUUUACCUGAGUGUACAAUCAAUAAAUAUACAGAUGGUAUAGUGUACAAUCAAUGAAUAUACAGAUGGUAUAGUAUUUCCAGGAGCUUGGCUGACGUAAU